UGCUGUCUUAUAGGCGAGAUCCUGCUUUGUCUCACAGCCUUCAGGAGAGAGCCAGAGGGGCCAGGGGAUGGGGCCAUUUUCCAUUGUGUGCGUCUGGGUGCUCCUGGCUGCAGACCUGAGUGCAGACCCCUCUGCAAGCCUGGUGGAGCAAAGGCCCAGGUGGGUUCUGGUACCACGUGGACAAGCUGAGACUCUGCGCUGCAUCCUGAGGAAUUCCCAGUACCCCUGGAUGAGCUGGUACCAACAGGAUCUCCAGCAGCAGUUUCAGUGGCUGGCCACUCUGGGAAGCCCUGGGGACAAGGAGGCUAUAUCCCUUCCAGGAGCCAAUUACCUGGCCACACGGGUCAGUGACACGGAGCUGAGGCUGCACGUGACCAACGUCACCCAGGGAAGAGUCCUGUUCUGUACCUGCAGCAAAGACACAGUGAGAAACCCUCCUGGGGCCUUUGAAUAA